CAAAACCAGCUCAGGCUGCAAAAAAAAAGAGCUUAUCUUCCCUUUAGACUAUAGAAGAAUAUAAAAGAAUGUAGUUCAAAAACUAACAAUGAUUUUCCUGCACUUCGUAAAGAGAGCAUAUCUAAAAGCCUCUAUCCUGAAGAGCGUUGGACCCUGGAGCUGCUGGCCACAUCUUGAUCUGCCAUAUGUGGUCCAAGAAUGAAGUCAACACGAAGGAGAAUGAAGGUGCUGAGGGAUAAAGUUAUUGACAUUCUAGGAGCUCCUGGAUCAAACCAUGCCUGAACUCAAUUUAUCCCUUGAACUUUUCAAUUACAUGAAUAAAUCCUCCUUUUGCCUGAGUCAAUGUGGAUUAGUAUCAUUGGCAUUCAGAAGAUUCCUAAAGUCUCAGGUCUUCUGCACAUCUAUAACCAUGGCAAUUGCGGUCCUGCUCUCCUUUCCCCUCCCCUGAGCAGGCAAGCUUUCCUUCUCUAUCAUGUAAACCUCCUGGGUCAUUCAGAGUAUUUCUCAAAUGUUACCUGGAGUUUCCCAAGACUUCAGUUCUCACUGACCAUUUACUUCUUAAACUGCUAGGAUGAUAACCUAUAACUUUGCAUCUAACCAAUCCCUUAGCACUUUCCUUAGAGACUUCUUAGAGAUCUUUUUGAUGCCUAAGGGUAGGAAUCAGGGCUUCUCUAUCUUGUAUAUGCACUGCCCCCCACCCACAGGUCCAUAGAAUAACAGCUGAGGACCUGUAGCUCUACAAGGGCAGGGACUGUCAAACAUGCCAGACUGCACAUGGUAGUUACCACUAGAGGGCUCUGGGUAUGGGCAAUAAGCAGGACUUCUGCAUUUUACAUCUAUGCUAUCAUUCGAGUCUUGUAUGAGCAUUUAUUUUACAAAUCUCUAUCUUGCAAAGCAAACCCUUAGUGUGAAUAACUGAGGAGUGGUGGAUCGGCCAGCUCUUCCGUGCAGUGUUCUAAAGCCUCUUGCUCCUGUCUCUCCUGUGGGAAACCCAUAGUUACGGCUUCAAGCAGAGACCCAAGCACCACCUCAGGGUCUUGACCUUGUGUGGGAAUAAUCUAUCACCAAGAUGCAGACAGAGACAAACUGCUUCACAGAGCAUUUUAUCCCCUAGAAAAUCCCCAACCCCAGCAUCCUGGGUGCUGCCCAACCUCUUCAAAUACAAAGGCAAAUAAAAUAAAUAAAAGUAAAUAUUGUACUCAUAAGCAACAGAAUGCCUAGCAACCAAGAACAAGGGAGGGCUGGAGGAAGAAGGUUGACUUUCGCAGGCCCUUGUGUAUAAACUGCAGUAAAAGUCUUCUCUGUGUGAAUAAUAUAUUUUUGAGCGUUAAAUUAUAGAAGGUGUAAGGAAUGCUAAGGCUGAGACCCAACAGAGAGAGCUGGCCCCACCCUGAAUGGGAGGGGCAGGGGUCUCCUUGGUCUUUGUCCCUGCUGACUGGUAUUGAGGGAGGGGGAGUCUCCGCUGUAGCUUCAGGAAUGGAACACAGGGCACCAGGCCUCAGUUAAUCCCUUUAGGGACCCUUAGCCCUGAAACAAUGCUGGUGCAACCCCACAUGUAACUCAGAAGAAAAUGUUAAGUCACGAAAUAAAUGUAAGAGCUCUGAUGUUUUUCUAUAACACCCAUUUCAAUGCUUUGUUAGAAAGUAUGUACGUAAAGCACAUGACAUUGUUCUCAUUAAAUUUUUUUGUUACGAAAACUUUUAAACACACUCAGAAGAGUAGGAUUUUUGAACCUCUCAUCUGGGUACAAUAUUAUUAAAAUUCUGC
rnacentral:lncRNA from 1 species